CCUGAUGCAGCGACGCCGCGUGAGGGAUGACGGCCUUCGGGUUGUAAACCUCUUUCAGCAGGGACGAAGCGAAAGUGACGGUACCUGCAGAAGAAGCACCGGCCAACUACGUGCCAGCAGCCGCGGUAAUACGUAGGGUGCGAGCGUUGUCCGGAAUUACUGGGCGUAAAGAGCUCGUAGGCGGUUUGUCGCGUCGUCUGUGAAAACCAGCAGCUCAACUGCUGGCUUGCAGGCGAUACGGGCAGACUUGAGUACUGCAGGGGAGACUGGAAUUCCUGGUGUAGCGGUGAAAUGCGCAGAUAUCAGGAGGAACACCGGUGGCGAAGGCGGGUCUCUGGGCAGUAACUGACGCUGAGGAGCGAAAGCGUGGGUAGCGAACAGGAUUAGAUACCCUGGUAGUCCACGCCGUAAACGGUGGGCGCUAGGUGUGGGUUUCCUUCCACGGGAUCCGUGCCGUAGCUAACGCAUUAAGCGCCCCGCCGGGGGAGUACGGCCGCAAGGCUAAAACUCAAAGGAAUUGACGGGGGCCCGCACAAGCGGCGGAGCAUGUGGAUUAAUUCGAUGCAACGCGAAAAACCUUACCUGGGUUUGACAUAUACCGGAAAGCCGUAAAGAUACGGCCCCCCUUGUGGUCGGUAUA
rnacentral:rRNA from 1 species